rfam:Corchorus capsularis cultivar CVL-1 contig06235, whole genome shotgun sequence.
UGUUGCGAUCAUACCAGCACUAAUGCACCGGAUCCCAUCAGAACUCCGCAGUUAAGCGUGCUUGGGCGAGAGUAGUACUAGGAUGGGUGACUACCUGGGAAGUCGUCAUCUUGCACCCC